rnacentral:lncRNA from 1 species
GGAACCGCCUAAGACACCACCCCAGCCAGCAUGGCCGGCAGGAGCGCACCGCGCUGUCUCCCUCCAGGGAUCCGCACCGCCCUACAAUCCUGCUUUGUGCUGAGAUUGUAGUCCUGCAGGCGUACAACUAACAAGCUGGGUGCAGAUAAGAGACUACAGCUCCCCGCAUCCCAAGCAAAGGUCCCUCCUCUACGGAGCCCCUCCACGCGUCCACUGCGGUUCCGCCGUGCCAAGGGGAGCUUGGCUGUUCACGGGCCUCACCUGCUAGCGAGAAGAUAGCUUGGCCGGGCGGCUGAUCUCACCUUGUAAUUCUGACACUGUGUCUCCCGGGCUUGUCGGCUUCAUGACUUGUGCCCAAAGUUUGAUUUCUCGCAGACCAGGUAAAAGCCAAGAGGCUCUCAUAGGCGCCUUGGCAGAGUUGCCAUUGGAACGGGCGUCCUCUAGUAGCUGGGAUCUCCCCGCCCCUUCCUCCUGAGGGGCCACUCCUUUCUGCCCCACCCUUCUUAUUGCCCCACCCUUUGCCACACUCCUUCAGAGAUGCGCAGUGCUGCCCCUUUCUAUGGGCAGGGCCGAAGGUCCGCGUGUAAAAGUACCCAGUCCCUGGUAACCUGACACUUCCCUUUUAAAAGCCACCUUUUGUCUAUCUCUGGCCUGCCACGAUUCUUCCUGUGCUCCAUAGGAGGACCCAUUGGACCCCCGGGCUGGCUGCAGGGCCCACACCUGGGUUAGACCUCGCACAGGGACGCUGCUGCCACUGUAAUAAAGCGUGCCUACACGCUUCUGAAACUGGUGUAGGAACAACCUCAGUUCUGUGAAAGGCGGACGCAGCAGGACAGAAUCUCCGUGGACAUCUGUCUGGAGGAGCAAUUUUACUGCGACAUUUUAAAGAAACAAAUUUAAUUGAUUUCCAAGGGUGUCCAUCGCGCUUCCUUCACUGCCUUGAUCAUGUCGGGGUCACCACCUGCGGGGGUUUGUCCUGCAGACCCUGACUCAACGACGGAUGAAUAAUGUACACUGACACAGAUCUUAUGCUUGUCAGUCCUGCUGAGCAUCCAGGCCACUUACAGACUCCAAGAAGAGUCCUGUCAGCCACGGCUCUGACUUGUUGGCCCUCCCGGCAUUUAUUUAGCACACAUUUAAUGACAGAAGUCUCAGGCUGGAAACACUCUUUUUGUAGAACAUACAAAUGGACAUUUCUAAGCACAUUGAGGCCUAUAAUGAAAAAUCAAAUAUCCCACAAUGAAAACUAGAAGGAAGCUAUCUGUGAUAAUGCUUUGUGGUGUAUGGAUUCAUCUCACUGACUGAAACCUGAGUUUUGAUUCACCAGGUUAAAAACACUAUUUUUGUAGACUCUACGAAGAAACAUUUCUGAAACCAUUGAAACCUAUGGGGGAAAAAAACCCCCGAAAUUCCUGUGAUAAGAAAUGGAAAGCAGCUAUCUGUGAAAAUGCUUUGUAAUGUGUGGAUUCUUCUCACAGAGUUAAACCUUUGUUCUGAUUCAACAUUGUUCAGAACACUCUUUUUGUAGAAUCUACAGAGAUACUUUUUAGCAUUUUGAGGCCUCUAGUGAAAAACCGAAUGUCCUGCAAUAGAAACUGGAAACAACCUUCUGUGAAAAUGCUUUGUGAUUCGUCUAUUCAUCUCAAAGAAUGAAACUUGUGCUUUGAUUCAACAGGUUGGAAAACCCUUUUUGUAGAAUCUACGUAGGAACAUUUCUGAGCCCAUUGAGGCCUCUAGUGAAAAAACUGAAUAUCCCAGAAUUAAAACUAUAAACAAGCUAUCUGUGAAGAAGCUUUGUAAUAUGUGCAUUCAUCUAACAGAUAUAAGCGUGUAUUUUGAUUUGCCUGGUUGGGAACACUCUUUUUGUACAGUCUAUAAAGAAACAUUUCUGAGUGCAUUGAGUCAUAUGUUGAAAAAUCGAAUAUCUCGUGAUAAAAACUAGGCAGGAGGUAUCUGUGAAAAUGCUUUGAGAUGUGUGGGUAUUGGCCUCACAGAGUUAAACUUUUGUUUUGAUUCAACAGUUUGGAAACAUACUUUGUAGAAUCUACAAUGACAUAUUUCUGAGCCCAUUGAGGCCUGUAGUGAAAAACCGAAUAUCCCAUGAUAAAAACUCAAAACAAGCGAUAUGUGAAAAUGCUUUGUGACGUGUGGUUCAUCUCAUAGAGUUAAACCUGGUUUUGAUCCACUACAUUGGAAACACUCUUAUUGUAGAAUCUACAAAAAAAAAUUUCUGAGACCAUUGAGGUCUCUAGUGAAAAACUGAAUAUCCCAUGAUAAAAACUAGAUACAAGCUAUCUGUGAAAAUGCUUUGCAAUGUGUGGAUUUGUCUCACAAAGUUAAACCUGUGUUUGAUUCAACGGGUUGGAAACACUUUUUUUGUAGAAUCUAUGAAGAAACAUUUCUGAGACCAUUGAAGCCUAUAGUAAAAAAUUGAAUAUCCUGUGAUAUAAAUGAGAAACAAGUUAUCUACGAAAAUGUAUAUUAAUCUCACUGAAUGCAACCUGUGUUUUACUUCACCAGGUUAAAGAUGCUCUGUUGGUAAAAUCUGUGAAGGGACAUUUCUGAGCACAUUGAGGCCUAUAGUGAAAAAACGAAUAUCCUGCUAUAAAAACUAGAAACAAGCUAUGUGUGAAAAUGCUUUGCAAUGUGUGGAUUCACCUCACAGAUUUAAACCUUUGUUUUGUUUCAACAGGUUGGAAACACUCUUUUUGUAGUUGAACGAAGGGACAUUUUUGAGUCCCUUGAGGCCUAUAGUAAUGAACAGAAUAUCCUGCAAUAAAAAUUAGAAAGAAGUUAUCUGGGAAAAUGCUUUGUGUUGUGUGGACUUAUCUCACAGUGUCAAACUAUUGUUUCCAUGCAACACUAUAAAUGCACACUUUUUGUAGAAUCUAUGAGGGGACAUUUCUGAGCCCAUUGAGGCCUAUAAAGAAAAACCAAACUUCCCAUGUUAAAAGCUAGAAACAAGCUAUUUGCGAAAAUGCUUUAUGGUAUGUGGAUUCAUCUCAUUGAAUGAAACCUGUGUUUUGAUUCACCACGUUUGAAACACUCUUUUGAUAGAAUCCACGAAGGGACAUUUCACUGUAUGAGGCAUAUAGUGAAAAACCAAAUAUCUCAUGAUGAAAACUAGAAAGAAGCUAUUUGUGAAAAUGCUUUCUGAUGUUUAGAUUCAUGUCAAAGAGUUACACCAUUUUUUUGAUUCAACAGGUUUGAAACACUUUUUUUUAGAAUCUAUGAGGGACAUUUCUGAACAAAUUGAGGAGUGUAGUGAAAAACCGAAUAUCCCACUGUAAAAACUACAAACAUUCUGUCUGUGAACAUACUCCCAACUGACCCUGGGUAUUCUAAUAUGAGAGACUCCUGGCUGACCCCAGGCAGUCUAAGGAUAGAGACUCCUGGCAGACUGCAGGCAUUCUAAUGACAGAGACACCUGUGCAACUCCAGGCAUCUUAAUGAAAGAGACUUUAUGCCGACCUUAGGCAUUCUUGUGAUAGGGGCAACUGUGCGUCUUAAGACAUUUUUAUGAGAGAGACUCCAGGCUGACCCCAGGCAUUCUAAGGAGAGAGACUUCUUGCAGAAUUCAGAUACUGUAACGAUAGAGACACUGGGGCAACCUCCAACAUUCUAAUGAGAGGGACUUCUGGUCUACCACGGGCACUUCAAUGAUAAAGACAGUUUUUCGACCCCUAGCAUUUUAAUAGGAGAGACUGCCAGCCAAAACCAGGCAUUCAAACUGGAGAGACACCCAGCCAACCACAGGCAGUCUAAUGUUAGAGACGCCUGGAUGAUCACAGGCAUUAUAAUGGGAGAAACUGAAUGCCAAACGCAGGCAGUCUAAUGUUGGAGAUACCCAGCCAACCCCAGGCAUUUUAAUACAAAAGACUCCUGGUCGACCCCAGGCAUUCCAAUGAUAGAGACACUGUGGCGACCCAAGGUAAUCUACUGGGAGAGACUCCCUGCCAACCCCAGUGAUUCUAAUGGGAGAGACUGCUGGCUGACACCAGGCAGUCUGAUAGAAACCCCUGGGCAACCCCAGGCAUUCUAAUGAAAGUGAUUCCUGGCUGAACUUAGGCAGGCUAAUAACAGAGACAUCUGGGUGACCCCAGGCAUUCUAAUGGUACAGGCUCCCGGGAAAUUCCAGGCAUUCUAAUGGGAGAGACUCUUGGCCGACUACAGGCAGUUUAAGGAUAGAAACACCUGGGCGACCACAGGCAUUUUAAUGGAAAGACUCCAUGCUGACCCAAGGCAGCCUAAUUACAGAAACACCGGGUGACCCCAGGUAUUCUAAUGGAAGAGACUCCCGGUGGACCCCAGGCAGUCUAAUGAUAGAGACACCUGGGCAACCACAGGCAUUCUAAUGGGAGAGACUCCCAGCAGAGCCCAGGCAAUCAAAUGAUACACCUGGGCGACCCCAAAUAUUCUAAUAGAAGAGACUCCUAGCCAACCCCAGGCAUUCUAGUAAGAGACUUCUAGCCGACAAAAGGCAGUCUUAGGUUAGAGACACCUAGGCAACCUCAGGCAUUCUAAUGGGAGAGAUUCAUUGCUGACCCCUGUUAGUCUAACGAUAGAGUCACCUGGGGAACCUCAGUCAUUCUAAUGAGAUAGACUCCUGCCGAACCCAAGCAGUCUAAUUAUAAAGACAUUUCGGUGACCCAAGGCAUUCUAAGGAAAGAGACUCCUGGUGGAUCCCAGGCAGUCUAAUAAUAAAGACACCUGAGCAACCCCAGGCAUUCUAACGGAAGAGACUCCCAGCUGACCCCAGGCAGUCUAAUGAUAGAACUCCUGGGCAAACCCAGGCAUUCUAAUGGGAGAAACUUCUGGCCAAACCUAGGCAGUAUAAUUAUAUAUGCCAAAUCGACCCCAGGCAUUUUAAGGGGAGUGACUCCCAGCCGACUCCAGGCCGUCUAAUGAUAGAGACACCUGGGUGACCCUAGGCAUUCUAAUGGGAGGGACUCACCGCCGACCCUGGGCAUUCUAAUGGGAGAGACUCGUGGCCUACCCCAGGCAGUCUAAUGAUAGAGACACCUGAAAAACCCCAGGAAUUCUAGUGGGAGAGACACCCGACCAACUGCAGGAAAUCUAAUGAUAGAGACAACUGGGUGACUGCAGGCAUUUUAAUGGAAGAGACUCUCAGAUGACUUGACGUUUUAAUGAUAGAGACACCUGGGCAUCCCGAGGCAUUCUAAUAGGAGAGACUUCCAGCCAAACCCAGGCAUUCUUUUGAAAGAGAUGUCUGGCUGACCCCAGGCAGUCUGAUUAUAGAGACACCUGGGUGACCUCAGGAAUUUUAAUUGGAGAGAUUCCCGGCUGAUCACAGGCAGUCUAAUGAUAAAGUCAUCUAUGUGACUUAAGACAUUCUAAUGGGAGAGACUCCAGACCGACAUCAGACAUUCUAAUAAUAGAGACACCUCUGUGACUCCAGGCAUUCUAACGGGAGAGACUCUGGGCCGACACCAGGCAUUCUAAUAAAAAAGACUCCUGGCUGACCAUAGACUCUCUAAUGAUAGAGACAUCUGAACGACCCUUGGCAUUCUAAUAAUAGAGACUCCCGGCUGACCUCAGGGACCCUAAUGGUAGAGACACCUAGCUGAUGCAGGCAGUCUUAUGAUAGAGACACUUCGAUGACCGGAGACGUUCUAAUAAGAGAGAUUCCUGGUUGAACCCAGGCAUUCAAAUGAUAGACACCUUAUCGAGGACAGGCAUUUUAAUGGGAGAGACUCCCGCCAAACCGCAGGCAGUUUAAUAAAGAAAUAGGGAUGAAUACAGGUAUUCUAAUGAGAGACACUCCUGGCUGACUUCAGGCAGUCUAACAAUAGAGACACCUGGGAGAGCCCAGGUAUUCUAAUGGGAGAGAUUGCUGGCUGAACACAGGCAGUCAAACUGUAGAGGAAUCUAAGCCACCCAAGGCAUUUUAAUAGGAGAGCCUACCAGCUGACCCCAGGCAGUCUAAUGAUAGAGACACCUGGGCGAACCCAGGCAUACUAAUGGGAGAAACUCCCAGAUAACUCAAGGCAUUUUAAUAAGAGACAAUCUUGGCGGACCCCAGGCAGUCUAAUGUUCACAACUGGGCAACCACAGGCAUCCUAAUGGGAGAGACUACAGGACAAGCCCAGGCAUGCAAAUAAUAGAUACACGUAUGCGACCCCAAGCAUUCUAAUGAGAGAGAAUUCCAACUGACACCAGAUAUUCUAAUGGGAGAGACUCCUGCCUGACCCCAGGCAGUCUAAUAAUACAGACACCUGGAUGACCUCAGGCAUUCUAAUUAGAGAGACUUCUGUACAAACCCAGGCAAUCCAUGCAUAGAGACACCUAGGUGACCCCAGCCAUUCUAAUGGGGGAGAUUCCCAACUGACCACAGGCAGUCUAAUGGUAGAGGCACUUGGGUGACCCCAGGCAUCCUAAUAGUGGAGACUUCCAAAGGACCCCAGCCAAUCUAAUGUUAGAGACACCUGGGUGACACCAGGCAUUCUUAUGGGAGAUACCCUCCACUGACCCCAGGAAUUCUAAUAAUAGUGACACCUGGGAUACCACAGGCAUUCUAAUGGGAGAGACUGCUGGCUGACACCAGGCAUUCUCAUAAUAGAGACACCUGGGGGACUCCACUCCAGGCAUUCUAAUGGGGGAAACUCUCAGAUGACCCCAAGCAAUCUAAUGUUAGAGAGAGCUGUGCAACCACAAACAGUCUAAUGUUAGAGACACGUGGGUGACCCCAGUCACUCCAAUGGGAGAGACUCACAGAUGACAGAAAGCAUUCUAAUGGGAGAUACUCGUGGUCAACCCCAGGCAGUCUAAUGCUAGAGACACUGAUUGAGCCCAGUGAUUGUAAUGGGAGAGACUAAUGGUCGAACACAGGCAGUCUAAUAGUAGAGACACUUAGGUGAUCCUAGACAUUCUAAUGGAAAAGACUAUCAUCUGACCCCAGGCAUUCUAAUAAUACAGAAACCUGGGUGACCUAAGGCAUUCUAAUGGGAGAGACUUCCAUCUGAACCCUGGCAUUCUAAUGGGAAAGACACCAAGCCAGCCCAGGCAGUCUAAUGAUAGAGACAUCUGUGUAACCACAGGCAAUCUAAUGAAAGAGACUCCCGGCCAAUCGCAGGCAGUAUAAUGACAGAGAAAUCUGAACGACUGCAAGUAUUUUAAUGGGAGACACUUCUGGCUGACCCCAGGCAGUCUAAUAAUAGAGACACCUGAUGGACCCCAAGCAUUCUAAUAGAAGAGACUUCGAGCUGACCCCAGGCUGUCUAAUUAUAAAGACAUCUGGGCUACCUUGGUAAUUCUAAUGGGUAAGACUCCUGGCCAACCACAGGCAAUUCUAAUGGAAGAGACUCCUGACUGACACCAGGCAGUCUAAUAAUAGAGAAACCUGGGCAAUCCCAGACAUUCUUAUGGGAGAGACUGCUGGCUGAACCCAGCAGUCUAAUGAUAGAGACACAUGAGCAAACCCAAACAUUCUAAUGGGAGAGAUUCCCAGCCAAUUCCAUGCAUUCUAAUGAAAGAUCUCCUGGCCAACCCCAUGCAGUCUUAAAAUAGACACCUGGGCGACACCAGGCAGUCGAAUAAGAGAGACUCCUGGCUGACACCAAGCAGUCUAAUGGCAGAGACACCUGGGCCACCCCAGGCAUUCUAAAAAAAAAGAAUCCCAACUGACAUGAAGCAGUCUAAUGAUAGACAACUGGGCACCACAGGCAUUCUAAUGGGAGAGACUCCCAGUCGAUUCCAGACAUUCUAAUUUGAGAGAAUUUGGGAGAUGCCAGGCAUUCUCAUUGGAGAUAUCAGCGACCGACCUGCACCAGACUAAUGAUGAAAAUGCAUCCACGAACCCAGGCAUUCUAAUGGGAGGGGCUCUGGGAGACCUCAUGCAGUCUAAUGAAAAAGACACCUGGAUGACCUUAGACGUUCUAAUGGGAGAGACUCUGGUCCAACCCUAGACUGCCUAAGGUUAGAGACACCUGGUCAACCCCAGACAUUCCAAUGAAAGAGACUCCUGGCCCAAUUCAGGCAGUCUAAUGAUAGAGACACCAAUGUCACACUAAGCAUUUUAAUGUGAGAGACUCCUGGCUGAGACCAGGAAGUCUAAUUAUAGAGACACCUGGGCAACCCCAGGCAUUCUAACGGGAGAGACUUCAGGCUGACCCCAGGCAGUCUAAUGAUAGAGAAACCUGGGCGACUCCAGGCAUAAUAAUGGGAGAGACUGCUGGCUGACCCAAGGCAGUAUAAUGAUAGAGACCCCUGGGCAUGCUAUCUGUGAAAAUGCUUUAGGAUGUGUGGAUUAGUCUCACCAAAUGGAACCUGUGUAUUGAUUCACCAGGUUGAAAACACUCUUGCUGUAGAAUCUAUAAAGGGAUAUUUCUAAGACAAUGUAGGCCUAUAGUGACAGACCGUAUAUUUUGCAAUAAAAAAUAGAAACAAGCUAUCUGUGAAAAUGCUUCAUGAAAUGUGGAUUUAUUUCAAUGAGUUAAAACUUUGUUUUGAUUCAAUAGGCUGGAAAGCCUCGUUUUGUAGUAUCUACGAAAAGAAAUUUCUGAGCUCAUUGAGACUGGUAGUGAAAAAUCUAAUAUCCUGUGAUAAAAAGUAUAAAAACGCUAUGUGUGAAAAUGCUUUGCCAUAUGUGAGUUCAUCUCCAACAGUUAAAACUUUGUUUUGAUUCAACAG